GAGAGCAAGCGGACCUCAUAAAGUGCGUCGUAGUCCGGAUUGGAGUCUGCAACUCGACUCCAUGAAGUCGGAAUCGCUAGUAAUCGUGGAUCAGAAUGCCACGGUGAAUACGUUCCCGGGCCUUGUACACACCGCCCGUCACACCAUGGGAGUGGGUUGCAAAAGAAGUAGGUAGCUUAACCUUCGGGAGGGCGCUUACCACUUUGUGAUUCAUGACUGGGGUGAAGUCGUAACAAGGUAACCGUAGGGGAACCUGCGGUUGGAUCACCUCCUUA
rnacentral:rRNA from 3 species